rnacentral:snRNA from 1 species
GGGUGUGAGGGUGACCUGGCUGCCACAUCUGUCACCCCAUUGAUCGUCAGGGUUGGUUCUGCUGAUCUGGCUGGCAAGGCAGGUGUCCCCUUCCUCCCUCACUGCUCCCCGUGUGCCCCUCCCCAAGCUGCAUGCUGGGUGGAGGAGGACGGCCUUCCCCGAGUAGAGGAGGGCCGGCUUUGGUCAAGGAUAGAGCAGCAGCUGGGCUCCCCGCAAACGCUAUUUGAGCAUCUGCUUAAUUUGAUAUCCUCAAAGGGCUGUUAAAACCAGCCCCACUCA